ACAAAUCAGAGACCCAAAAAGUCUCUGAGAUAAACCAAUCUCGUGUCUUCUGCCUUAAAAAGAGAGGUGUUUCUCUCACUUUUUCAUCCUGCCAAGGAUACCAAAAAUGAGGCUGCAAAGCCCCAUCUCCACCCUUCCAGUUAAUCAAGUCUGAAAAAUUCCUGCAAGCAAAACAACGGAGGGAGGUUGUGCUGUGAAUCGUCAAGGACUUUAGAAUCCCUGUGAUUUAUAGCUUACACGGAGCACGAUGCUCUAGGCACCGGGGCGGCAGCAUCAACUGGGCAGGAUUCCUGUGCUCACAGGGCUUCCAUCCUUUGUAAAGUCUCACUCACUAUUUGAUUUUAAGUUCCGGGAGGAGAAGAUUUUAUUUACUUGACAGAGACACAGCGAGAGAUGGAAC